GACGAACGCUGGCGGCGUGCUUAACACAUGCAAGUCGAACGGAAAGGCCCUGCUUUUGUGGGGUGCUCGCGUGGCGAACUGGUGAGUAACACGUGAGUAACCUGCCCUUGACUUUGGGAUAACUUCAGGAAACUGGGGCUAAUACCGUCUAGCCGCUCCUGCUGCAUGGUGGGGGUUGGAACGUUUCGGCGGUUGGGGAUGGACUCGCGGCUUAUCAGCUUGUUGGUGGGGUAGUGGCUUACCAAGGCUUUGACGGGUAGCCGGCCUGAGAGGGUGACCGGCCACAUUGGGACUGAGGUACGGACCAGACUCCUAAGGGAGGCAGCAGUGGGGAAUAUUGCACAAGGGGCGGAAGCCUGAUGCCGCAACGCCGCGUGCGGGAUGACGGCCUUCGGGUUGUAAACCGCUUUCGCCUGUGACGAAGCGUGAGUGACGGUAAUGGGUAAAGAAGCACCGGCUAACUACGUG
rnacentral:rRNA from 1 species